rnacentral:rRNA from 1 species
UACGUAGGGGGCAAGCGUUGUCCGGAUUUAUUGGGCGUAAAGAGCGUGUAGGCGGCCAGGUAGGUCCGCUGUGAAAACCCGAGGCUCAACCUCGGGACGUCGGCGGAAACCAUCUGGCUAGAGUUCGGGAGAGGAGAGUGGAAUUCCUGGUGUAGCGGUGAAAUGCGCAGAUAUCAGGAGGAACACCGAUGGCGAAGGCAGCUCGCUGGGGCGGUACUGACGCUGAGGCGCGAAAGCGUGGGGAGCAAACAGG